UCCAGGGUAGCCUAGUGGACAUGGAAUCUGCCCGGUAAGCGGAACAUUGUGGGUUCCAUUUCCAUCCCUGGAC